GACGAACGCUGGCGGCGUGCUUAACACAUGCAAGUCGUACGGUAAGGCCCUUUCGGGGGUACACGAGUGGCGAACGGGUGAGUAACACGUGAGUAACCUGCCCACAACUUUGGGAUAACGCUAGGAAACUGGUGCUAAUACUGGAUAUGUGCUCCUGCUGCAUGGUGGGGGUUGGAAAGCUCCGGCAGUUGUGGAUGGACUCGCGGCCUAUCAGCUUGUUGGUGGGGUAGUGGCCUACCAAGGCGGCGACGGGUAGCCGGCCUGAGAGGGUGACCGGCCACAUUGGGACUGAGAUACGGCCCAGACUCCUACGGGAGGCAGCAGUGGGGAAUAUUGCACAAUGGGCGCAAGCCUGAUGCAGCAACGCCGCGGGCGGGAUGACGGCCUUCGGGUUGGAAACCGCUUUCAGCAGGGACGAAGCUUUUUGUGACGGUACCUGCAGAAGAAGCACCGGCUAACUACGUG
rnacentral:rRNA from 1 species